GUCUUCAAGGCGAAUCUGACCUCCUCGUUGUUCUGUUCCCUCCCCAGUCAGUGCAGUUGCACUCCCUACUCCCUACUCCCUCCCCACUCGUCAGUCGCGCAGCGUGAGGAAGUCUUUGGAGAGACGAACCCUCUUGAACGAAGCUAUUCAAUGGCUUUAAUGAAAUCAAAGUUACGUUUGUCCAACAACUAUAUUUCUCAGGGUGUACUCAAAAUCAAAGCCUAUUCAUUUUCUUCUUCAACUUCCGAAGCACGCCUUCAAGAGGAAGAGGAUGAUGCAGAAAAUCAUUCCAAAACUUCCUCUAUCACUAACUGCUUAACCCCCGAAGAAACCCUUAUCGCCGAAAAACUCCACGCCCUAAUCAAGGACCACCACCGCAAAAACCCCAACCCUCACCCUAACCCCACUCCGCCUAACCCUAAUUACACCAUUCCCACUCUAUCCCACGACUUCUCCCACAUCUCCACCGCCCAUUCAGUCACCCCCUCCAUCGUCCGCCGCGUCAUUGAGAAAUGCGGUGGGGUCCGCCACGGCAUCCCCUUCCUCCAAGCCCUGGCGUUCUUCAACUGGUCCACUGCCCGCGAGGAACCGGCCGCCCACUCCCCCGCCGAGCACUACAACGAGAUGGUCGACCUUGCCGGGAAGGUUCGCCAGUUUGACUUGGCCUGGCACGUGAUUGAUUCCAUGAAAGCUAGGAACGUGGAAAUCACCGUCGAGACAUUCUCUAUCCUUGUUCGCCGGUACGUUCGGGCCGGUCUGGCAGCGGAGGCGGUGCACGCGUUUAAUCGAAUGGAGGAGUAUGGUUGUAGGCCCGAUAAGAUUGCGUUUUCGAUCGUGAUUGGUAUUUUGUGUAAGAAAAGAAGGGCAGAGGAGGCUCAGACAUUCUUUGAUAGCUUGAAGGAUAGGUUUGAGCCCGAUGUUGUUGUGUAUACGAGCUUGGUUCACGGGUGGUGUCGGGCGGGUAAUAUUUCGGAGGCCGAGAGGGUGUUUGGGGAAAUGAAGAUGGCUGAGAUUAAGCCCAAUGUGUACACUUACAGUAUUGUGAUCGACGCGUUGUGUAGGUGCGGGCAAGUUACGCGUGCCUACGAUGUGUUUGCCGAAAUGAUUGAUACGGGAUGUAGCCCGAAUUCUAUUACUUUCAAUAACUUAAUGCGGGUUCAUGUGAAGGCCGGGCGGACUGAAAAGGUCUUGCAAGUGUAUAAUCAGAUGAAGAGGCUUGGAUGCCCCGCUGACAUGAUUACGUAUAAUUUUCUUAUAGAGACACAUUGCCGGGAUGAUAAUCUUGAGGAAGCAAUUAAGGUGCUGAAUUUGAUGAUUAAGAAAGGGUGUAGCCCGAACGCCUCAACUUUUAAUUUGAUAUUUAGGUCCAUUGUGAAGUUACGGGAUGUGAAUGGUGCUCAUCGAAUGUAUGCUAAGAUGAAGGAGGUUGAAUGUAGGCCAAACACGGUGACCUACAAUAUAUUGAUGCGGAUGUUUGCGGACUCAAAAUCAACCGAUAUGGUUCUCAAGCUUAAGAAGGAAAUGUUUGAGAAUGAUAUCGAGCCUAAUGUGAAUACUUACCGAGUUUUAAUCUCGAUGUAUUGUGGGAUGGGGCAUUGGAACAAUGCCUACAAGUUUUUCAGGGAGAUGAUUGAAGAGAAGUGUUUAAAACCCAGCACACAUGAUUAUGAGUUGGUUCUUCAGCAACUAAGGAAUGCAGGGCAGUUAAAGAAGCACGAGGAGUUAGUGGAGAAGAUGGUGGAUAGGGGAUUUGCUUCUCGCCCUUUGUAGAAGUAGGCAGGCAAGCAGCUUUCUUUUGCACCGAGCCGGAUUAGGUGGUCCUUGAUCUCUCCUCCUCUCGCGAUUAUUUUUGUCUCGGAUUAUGUUGUAAUUUUUUUUGUAAUGCUGGUCUUCAUGUGAUUGAAAUUUGUAUGUCGGACAAUUGUGACAGAAAAACUUCAUUUGCAAACCUUUUUAUUGAUGCACUAAAUAUUCUGCGGAUGAGAAAUUCUAUAGAUCAGCAAGUGAAGCUGAUCCCACACCCCACCCCUGACGUGCUCAAUGCUUGGGAGCGUGUGCGGAUGUGGGCCAGUGAAGGCAUUCCAGAUAGCUUACUACAGCAAGUACGGGGGUGGGCAAACAAGCUGGCUGAUGGGUACAGCAAGGGCACUGGAUUGGCACUGCGGGGCGGGGGGGGAAUGGGGGCUUCGGGAAUGAGAAAUCGCAGCAAAGGGGAGGGGGGAGAGGGACCCAGAGGGGUUGGGGAUAGGUGUAACCCGGUCUGCUACAUGGGAAGUGGGGUGUGCGCCCAACAACCGGCUGAUACCAAGAUUUUCUUUUGAUACAUUAGUUUCUAACACCACAUCAGCUAGCAAAGUAUUUGUAUUUGAACUUUUAUUAUUAUUGUUAUAAUAGAUAUUACAGCUAGUAGUUUGUAUAAA